rnacentral:lncRNA from 1 species
CCAAAUUAUAAAUAAGAGAAUAGUAUGUUUGAAAGAAAUCUAAAAAAAUGGGCCCACUUUAAAAAUUAAAAUAAAUGAGCCACGUAACGACCACAUCAAUAGCACGAUGAGUCAGAACGCGCCACGUGACAGAUACAUUGGCACAGACUCCAUGCUGGAGCCAUGCAGGCGAUCCGCGUUCCAGGACAAUCCAACGGCCUGUGCUCACUCUUGCACACACGAACAGUUCGCAUUAAUUUCCAAGAUAAAGU